GCCCGCUUAGCUCAGAGGUUAGAGCAUCACAUUUGUAAUG
rnacentral:tRNA from 1 species